GCAGCCCUCUCUCUCUCUCCUCUCUUCCUUUCUCUCCUCCGCUGCGAAGGUUUCGUUCGUUCCGAAAUUUCUUCAUCGUUCUCAUCGUUUCUUCCUCUUUCAUUCCAUUGUUCUUUGUUUAGGUUCUUCGAUGUCCAUCUGGUUGUGGGGCAAUGAUGGAAGAGGCCGGUCUACUGUUGGAGAUUAUCUGGAGGCUUCGACUUUAUAGGAGUGGAGUGCGUUGCUCUUCUUCUUCAGAUCGAACUCCAGCUUUCUCUCUCUCUGUUUCAGUCUCUUUCUCUCAUUAAAUCUGCUAGGGACUGGAAUGGAUACGCAGAAUACAUCUCCUUCAGUGUUGCUAUUCUUUGACAAGCAAAGAUUUAUAUUCAAUGCUGGAGACGUGGUCUUUUGUUGCUUUGGAUAGAGCGGUUUGGUUGGUGUUUUCAAUUCUGUUAAGCAAGGGGUGAGUUUCUAGGCUGAAAUUUCAAUUAAUUGUUUUAAGUUUUGUGAAUAGAGGAUAGGAAUUAGCUAAUGGCAUCAAUUGACAAUUGGUUGGUGUUAAUUUGUUGUUGUAAUGAUAGGUUUAGAUGAUUACAAUAUUUGAACAUGUUGGUAAAUCCUUUUGAGUGUUUUGGCAAUUGGGUAGUUGAGAUGUUCCUUGUCUAUUUUCAUCGCUUUAUACACAUUUCACGCAAUUUUAAAACCUGCAGCAUCGCGCGGGCACCUUUUGCUAGUAUUAACUAAGAUACAUGUA